CCGGCCCCUGAGGAUGGGUUGGUCUCCCACCGCCCCUGGCCCGGGAAGCCGCACCUGGCCCCCGCCUGCAGCAGAUGGCCCUAGACGUCCCCGGCCCUGCCUGGAUUUCUCCACAGAAAUGGCUGGAAGCCGAAACACCCUCCGUCUCCAGACUUUUUCUCUUUUUAAAUCCUCCUCCGGGUGGAGAGACCCGAGAGACCGACCCAGAUAAAUUGUGCGCACAUAUUAGGGAGCUGUUUGUGGCUGCCAGCUGGUUCGAGCCGGGGAGGGGAGGCGAUAACUGGAAACGGCGGCGCGAAGGAAAAAAAAAAAAAAAAAAAAAAAAAAGGGCUUGGCCGGAACCCCCGCUAGCGUCUCCUGUGUGCGAAAGGACGGCCGCGGGCUCCCCGGUUGCGCGUUCCGGGCCCCGCGCCGGCCCUGUCCCCAAGCUGCGAGGGCACGGGACCCGCUUGCUCCCCGGGCGAGCAGGGUAGCCGCGCUGAGGAAGCGGGCACCGACCCGAGCGCUCUCCACGGACCGGACGGCACAGCCGUGUCCACGCCGACGGAGCAGUCCCUCGGACCUUUGGACCCUGGAAUAAUUUGCGUCCGAGUUUCCCCGGGGCACCUGCAGGGUGCCCAUGACAACUGAGCGGUGUGGAGAAGCAGCCCGAGACGCUGAGAAGACUGCCCGUCUUGCGCAGAGUACUCCAAAGAUCGGGUCAUUUCCACGCCACUCGCCGCCACCUCUUCCCUUCCGGUCAGGGUCACUCGGCUCCCGCCCUCCGCGCCAGGGAUCCCCUGGCUGCCCUCCAGCGGGUGUCCCAAGACCCGGCUGGGUUGGAGGGGAAGCCAUCAGUCCCUGAAUACAAAGGGAAAAUGAAUCAUUUCUGCUGUGCAGUUUAGGGCUCUUGCCUAGUUUACGACCAACCCGUGUCGUGUCCUCAGGUCUGACAUUGCCGCCCCUGGCCUUCACCAGACAGACCACAGAGCCAAUGGAGGCUGCCCAAUCUUGGACUGUGAACCUUCAAAAUCGAGGACUACGUGGAAGUGGAAAGUUGGACCCAUCCCCAGUGGGCUUUGCCAAAUGGAUACAACUAAGAGCUUGGAGACCUGCCCCUCAGUGCCCUUCUGAGCAAACGCAGCACACCCCAGGAGACUCCCUGCUCCCAAGAACUUGGUGGCUGAUUCGUCUUGGCGGUUCACAAACGUCGGGGCAGACACUUCACAGGCGGACAAACACUGCGACCUCAGAAACGCAUUGACUUGGCAGAGUAAACGGGAAUGGGCUUCAAGCUUCUAAUUCAUUAGAAUUCAUGAAUUAACUCUGGAGGAAAAGAUUGCGUGGGAGAGACAUUUCCGGCCUCACCCUAGUUAUCGAGGGUGCAUGGGCAGGCACGUGCAAGGAUCCAUUUGGGAGUGAGGUGCAUACAAAGGGAAGCUUACUGAAAAGACAGAAACUGAACUCCUGUGCACGUUCCAGGCAAACAUUAUAAAACCUAAUCUGCUAUGCAGCGUGCACGGCAGGGGGCCGGGAGCCACUGAUUGGGCUCAGAAGUCCCCGGAUAUGGGAUGAGUGUUUGGCCUAGUGUUUAAGGUACCCACAUCCCACAUUGGAGUACCUAGGUUCAAUACCUGUCUCUGGCUUCUAACUGCAGCUCCUGCU